GAUGAACGCUGGCGGCGUGCCUAAUACAUGCAAGUCGAGCGAACAGACGAGGAGCUUGCUCCUCUGACGUUAGCGGCGGACGGGUGAGUAACACGUGGAUAACCUACCUAUAAGACUGGGAUAACUUCGGGAAACCGGAGCUAAUACCGGAUAAUAUAUUGAACCGCAUGGUUCAAUAGUGAAAGACGGUUUUGCUGUCACUUAUAGAUGGAUCCGCGCCGCAUUAGCUAGUUGGUAAGGUAACGGCUUACCAAGGCGACGAUGCGUAGCCGACCUGAGAGGGGGAACGGCCACACCUGAACUGAGACACGGUCCAGACCCCUAAGGGAGGCAGCCGUAGGGAAUCCUCCGGCAUGGGGGAAAGCCUGACGGAGCCACCGCGGGUGAGUGAAGAAGGUCUUCGGAUUGGAAAACCCUUUUAAUAGGGAAGAAAAAAUGGUGAAGUUACUAAUCAAGUCUUGACGGUACCCAAUCAGAAAGGCACGGCCAACUACGUG
rnacentral:rRNA from 1 species